AUGAUGAUUGAAUUAACUGUUCAUCUGUCUUAUUCCCACCUCCCAGGCCCCUCGAACAAUCUGCAUUUCCCCAGGACAACUAACUUCUACGUCUUCAUAUGUAGUCCAGUGCUUCACCAAGGAUGUGUUACAUACUUACUGAACCAAACUAUUGUGAUCUGGAGUCUGCUGUAUCCUGUGUUUGGGAUGUUUUUCACUGAAUUCACCCAGAACAGCAGUGUCUGUGCUUGGCAGCAACACAGUGACGCCUUCAGAGAACAUUCAGGUGUGUUUAGGGAUAUUUUCUCUGCAUUACAUUAUCCCAGAACGAGGUGCCCUUCUGCUUGGUGUGCCCUGUUCUCCAUCCCUGCUGUUCGUUGUCGCUUUGCCCUGUAGCAAGUGUGUCUGCAUCGAGCGGCUGCUCUCCACCUUUCCACACCUUGGAUGUGUUUCUGUUUCUUCCAGCAGCAGCCUAAGAAAAACUGAAGGCUGGGAGGGGAAAACCACAGAUGCAGUUUUGCUCUCUAUUGCCCCAGUGUUGCUCACAAUGACAAAUUAAUGUACUCUGGAACAGGGGUCCCCAAGCGGUCUGUCAGGAACCUGGCCACACAGCUGGGCGUGAGUGGUGGGCAAAACUAAAACCAUCCCUGCCUCCCACUCUCUGUAGGAAAAUUGUCUUCUAUGAAACUGGUCUCUAGCCAAAAAAGUUGGGGACCUCUCCUAAGGAAUAGAGCAGAGGAUUUGGGGACCACCUAGGUGGCUCAGUGGUGAAGAAUUCGCCUGCCAGUGCAGGAGAUGCAGGAGACUUGGGUUCAGUCCCUGGGUCAGGAAGAUCCAGUGGAGGAAGGCAUGAGAACCCACUCCAGUAUUCUUGCCUGCAGAAUCCAUGGACAGAGGAG
rnacentral:lncRNA from 1 species